UUUUGAUGAUGAUGAUGAUGAUGAUGAUGAUGAUGAUGAUGAUCAUCAUCAUCAUCAUCAUCAUCAUCGCCGUCAAUA
rnacentral:pre_miRNA from 1 species